rnacentral:rRNA from 1 species
GAUGAACGCUGGCGGCGUGCUUAACACAUGCAAGUCGAACGAUGAAGCUCAGCUUGCUGGGUGGAUUAGUGGCGAACGGGUGAGUAACACGUGAGUAACCUGCCCUUAACUCUGGGAUAAGCCUGGGAAACUAGGUUUAAUACCGGAUAGGAGCGCCUACCGCAUGGUGGGUGUUGGAAAGAUUUAUCGGUUUUGGAUGGACUCGCGGCCUAUCAGCUUGUUGGUGAGGUAAUGGCUCACCAAGGCGACGACGGGUAGCCGGCCUGAGAGGGUGACCGGCCACACUGGGACUGAGACACGGCCCAGACUCCUACGGGAGGCAGCAGUGGGGAAUAUUGCACAAUGGGCGAAAGCCUGAUGCAGCGACGCCGCGUGAGGGAUGACGGCCUUCGGGUUGUAAACCUCUUUCAGUAGGGAAGAAGCGAAAGUGACGGUACCUGCAGAAGAAGCACCGGCUAACUACGUG